UACCUGGUUGAUCCUGCCAGUAGUCAUAUGCUUGUCUAAAA
rnacentral:rRNA from 1 species